rnacentral:tRNA from 1 species
GCAGCCAUGGCCUACUGGUUAGGGCUUCGGCUUGGAACCGAAACGGUUGCCGGUUCUAUCCCCGACCAGUAGCA